GUAUUUCUUAUAUACAUUUCGAGUG
rnacentral:piRNA from 1 species